rnacentral:rRNA from 1 species
UUAUUUAAUGGCCGCAGUAUUUUGACUGUGCAAAGGUAGCAUAAUCAUUAGUUCAUUAAUUGUGGACUGGAAUGAAUGGUUGGACGAAAUAUUAACUGUCUCAUUUAUUAUUUUUAGAAUUUAAAUUUUUAGUUAAAAUGCUUAAAUUUUUUUAUAGGACGAGAAGACCCUAUAGAUCUUUAUAUUUUUGUAUUUUUUUUGUUUUUGAUUAUUUUUUAUAUUAAUUAUAAAUUUAUUUGGUUGGGGUGACAUUAAGAUAUAAUUAACUCUUAGUUUUAUUAUUCAAUUAUUUUUGUACUAUUGACCUUUUAUUAUUGUUUUAAGAUAAAGAUACCUUAGGGAUAACAGCGUAAUUUUUUUUGAGAGUUCUUAUCGACAAAAUAGAUUGCGACCUCGAUGUUGGAUUAAGAUUAUAUUUAGGCGAAGGUGCUUAAAUAUUAAGUCUGUUCGACUUUUAAAUUCUUACAUGAUCUGAGUU